UCUUAUGUGGUCACUUGUCCCACUGGUUC
rnacentral:piRNA from 1 species